AGUGAACGCUGGCGGCAGGCCUAACACAUGCAAGUCGAACGGCAGCACCGUAAGAGCUUGCUCUUACGGGUGGCGAGUGGCGGACGGGUGAGGAAUACAUCGGAAUCUACUUUUUCGUGGGGGAUAACGUAGGGAAACUUACGCUAAUACCGCAUACGACCUACGGGUGAAAGCAGGGGAUCUUCGGACCUUGCGCGAUUGAAUGAGCCGAUGUCGGAUUAGCUAGUUGGCGGGGUAAAGGCGCACCAAGGCGACGAUCCGUAGCUGGUCUGAGAGGAUGAUCAGCCACACUGGAACUGAGACACGGUCCAGACUCCUACGGGAGGCAGCAGUGGGGAAGAUUGGGCAAUGGGCGCAAGCCUGAUCCAGCCAUACCGCGUGGGUGGAGAAGGCCUUCGGAUUGUAAAGCCCUUUUGUUGGGAAAGAAAAGCAGCAGGUUAAUACCCCGCUGUUCUGACGGUACCCAAAGAGUAAGCACCGGCUAACUUCGUG
rnacentral:rRNA from 1 species